CAUGGUCAAGUUGAAACUUCAGUUUUAAUUCAGAUCUCCACUGAGGAGCCAGAACUGACUGGUCAGAGGAAAGGAUUUGAAACAGUUCUCCCCUGGAUAACAGCUGUGUGUUUUUGUCUGAAUUUGAUUCUUAUUGCAGCCUUGGUUUUCUCCAUUUACCAAAGAAACAAAACUAAGCAGAAGAAACCCUGUGAAGAGAUGAACACGUAUGCAUCUUUAAGAGAGAAUGAGUGCAG